AUAAAAUAUAAUAGUUUUGUUUGUGGAAACACCACGUACAUUUAUUACUGCAGUAAUAAAUUUACGUGGUGUUUCCACAAACAAACUAUUAUAUUUUAUUUAAUUUUGUA